GCUCGGGUGGCCUGGUGAUUAGAGCGUCUGCCUCAGAUGCGGGAGGCCGUGGGUUUGAACCCUGGCCGAGUCA